AUUAUUCCAAUAAGCCGCCGAGAGCGUCUUUUGUUGCUAUAACAACAGCUACUGCUACAGUAUCCAAGAGGGCUAUGUGGAGUGGUGCUGGAUGAAACAAAGCGGUCGAGCGAGCUAGAGAAUGAACAGAGAGAGGG